UCGAUUCCUGCGAGCACACACACUAAAGGGCCUUGGUGGGCUGAAAAAAUACGAAAAAUCGAAACUCACCGGUGGCGGGACUCUCCGGUGCGGCGGCUCCUCCGGUUCACAUUGCGGCUGAUGUUUCGCUUCGAUCAACCUAUAGAGACGAAAACAGUGAUCACAACGGUGGAAAGAUUACGCAAAAUGGGAAUCAAGAAGGGCCUCAUUGGAGGCGGUUUGUGGAAUUUCUCAUGGCGGCGCCAUUGGGUUUUGCCAGUGUUUUUCAGCCAAUUGUCCGGUU
rnacentral:lncRNA from 1 species